GGUGAUGAAACAGUAAUGAAUUGUGUGUGAAGAUUAUUCUUUGAAUAAAUAUUGCUUUUACUCACCACAAACUGGCUGCAUCUACCUGCACCGCGGGCCACUUUAAAUAGAAUUUAUCAAUCACUCUACAGGCCGCACAAAGAUAUGGUUCGGGCUGCCCAUGCAUGUCUUACUCAACUCUCACCUGCCCUGUUCCCCGUCUCCUCAUGUUUCCACUUAACAUACUUCGUGCCUUAUACAAAACUUGGGAGUAACAAAAGUUCCAUUAGUAAUAUAUUUUGAAAUUUUCAGUGUUAUUGGGACCCCACAUGAAAGUGAUUGGCCACGAGAUGUGUCACUCUCACGCAGUAACUUCCGUCACCACCAGGGCAAACAUAUACGAGAUGUUGUGCCAGAAAUCACAGAUGAUGCAGCAGAUCUGCUCCAGAAAAUGCUGAAAUUUGUGCCAGGUGUGCGUAUCUCAGCCAUUGAAGCUCUUCGUCAUCCAUAUUUCCGAGGUUGUAUUCCACCGCGAAUCAUGGCCACAAGUAACAGGUCAACUCCCACGCAACAGGUUUUAAGUCCAGCACCCCUUGCUACUAGCAGCCCUGCCAAUACCCAUCUUCACCACCACCAACGUCACACAGCAGCCAGUGCUACCAAUACAGCCAGUGGCACGACAGACAACUCCUCAAGGCAAGCUGUAUUAUCCUCUCAGGUUACUGCAAAUGAUGAAAAUAACCCUAAUGCUGGGAACAGUGCCAAUACAAACAACAUGAUAUCAAGAGUGCCAGAGCCCAAGAUUACUGAACGUGCCAUCACAACCGCCAACACAUCUACCAAUACUGAACCCUCACCCACUGUCACCACCACAACCUCAGGAAGUGGUGGUGUCCCUCCUCCCCCUGGGAAUAGCUCAAAUGCUGUGUAAUUUACACCGCAUUCUACUUACAGGUAUGAAUUUAAUGAAGAAACUGGAAACUGUAACCUUUGUGGUGAUUGGACAAUAGGUGAGGGUUGACUGUAAUUAUCUGAUGCUACAAGGAGUAGUUGUUCUUGAAGGAAGGGAGUGAAGCUGUGAAUGUUCAAUUGACAAUUGUUUAAACUUGCAAUGGCUGUAAAUUUAUAAUGGGAGUGGAGAGUGAACUCAUGUAACCCCAAAAGUGUGAAUUGGUUAUUGAAAUCUCAUUAUGUGCAGCAACAGAAACUGUGAAACUUAAAGUUUAGCUGCACUAUUAAAAACUUGUGUACAAAUUGAUACCUGCACUGUCAGCAAAAGUUAUAGUAUCCCACCUUUAGUGCCUUGCUUGGGGGUAUCUCAAGGAUGUCGUAAACUACUGUGCUGCCCUGCCGUAGGAGUUGUGCUCCAUAUUAUGCUUACUAGAAAGUUCCUUAUGUAGUUCUGCUUGUCAUGGAUGUGCCCAACAAGUGCAAGAGUUUUUAAUAAAUUGCAUUUAACUUACAAAAGAGCAUAAAAGUGUAAGAGUUUUCAGAUGAAUCGCAUUUAACUUAGGAAAGAAUGUGUAAGUAACUUUGUGAAUGACACUUACCUUGAAAACAUUCCCUCUGACAUUCCCAAGUAAAAGGAACCAUCUCUCAUGUACCAAGUCGCUGAAUGGUGCUGAAGUUAUUUGUUGUGGCAUUUGUUGACUACUGUGUGCUUGUUGAAUGUUACUUGGAAAUUAAUCGGACUCUCUAAGUGGAACUACAGAAUUAGUGUUGGGCUUAGAUAUCAUGACUGGGUUAGUGAGAGCAGAGAGAAAAUUUACUGACUCUUGCUUUCGGUUAUUGUGUAAAUGAUCAUGGUUCAACUGAAUGACUUGGUGCCUGUUCUGAACUAACAAAUAUUUAUGACACAGGGAGCUUAUUAUCAAUAUUAAUGGUCAUUUGGUUUAACCAUUGAGAAGAAUUUCUUUUAUUUAUUGGUACUUAGGUGAUGUGUGUGUAUUAACUGCACCGACCACUCAAUAGAACCCAAAUUCUCAUGCCAUGACGGAAGUGAAAUGUAUUGUCAUGCAUAAAGGGCUUCCUCUGAAGUCUGCACUCCAUAUAUGGGUAGUAUGUUAGUCUUUACUUUCUUAUAGUGAAGUGAUAGUGUGUAAAUUAUUUAUUUCUGGAAAUAUUCUCCCAAUAAUGCAAACAGAAUGUACUUGGCUCAAUCAGUAACAUCAUACCAUCUGCAGUGUCAAUGUUGCUUUUUAAUUUUUAAGAGAAACAUUAUUUUUUUCUUAAUAAUUAACUACAGGCUUGGAAAUUCAUAAAAAGGGCAAGACAGCCACAAUAGAGAAUAGACACAGGACAGUAACUGUGAAGUGGAUAUACUUUGCAAAGGUCAUCAUGAUGACCUGACAGAGGGCGGGAAAUUCCAAGUCUUCUACUACCAUAACAUACGAUGGUUACUGAUACUGUGGGUUUCUUUUUCUGAAGAGAUUCACUAUUGCUGAUUUUGUCAAGGAAGUAGAAUUAUUUUAUUUUAUACAAUGCAAUCAUUUGAUAAUUUAUGUUGAAUAAUAUGCAUUCAUUAUUAGAGGCAUCAUACCCAGUGCAAAGUGUUGAUGCAAGUGUCCCGUAUAAAAUGGUUUGUGGUCAUGAUCUAGGAUGUUCCUCUGCUAAAGCAUAAAACAUGAUAAAAUGAGCAGGACAAAAAUUUGUAUUGCAGUGUAAGUUUUAAAAUUUGAGAGAUCUCUUGGCUUUUUAAUUUGUUAUAGAGAUUCAUCAGAUAUAAUUGUCCACUUACAGAAGAUGCAUUAGUGGGAACUGGUGGCCACCAUUAGUUGAGCUGUUUUAUAAACAUAUCUCUUCUGUUAAUAUUGAAGUUCAAGCAUGUGCUUGGGGUUUGAUUACAAUGAAUUGAAAAGUCUGUUCAAAGCAACAGAAAUUAAGUUUUAUUAACGCAUCCUGUGGAUCUUGUUUGCUGUUUGUAUUACAUAGCUUGUAGUUUUGUAUGUCUAUGGUUGACAUUCAUGGCACAACCCAAACUUUGUUUCCAGGUCUUAAAUCUCCUAAACAUGUGAUGAAGCCGCAGGUACAGGUAUAUGUGAGUCAGCCAGUUGAUAGAUGUGGGUAACAUUCCUGCUGUGUAAUGCUGCACAAUCUAUGAGAACAAUCUAUCUCUUUAUAUACUUUAUUCAGGAAGCAUUGAUUGAGAGUGUUAGCUUGCAUCACCUUACUUAAAUUCAAAACAUUUAUUCAGAAACAUUAGCACAGGUGCUGUACGUUGAUUUCCAUGUGGUAACAGCACACUUGUGGUGCCUACACAAGGAAUUCACCUUAAAUUACUGCUAUCCAAUUUUUCAAGUUCUUUUAAAAAUUGAAGUGAAUUCUUAUUUGGAGUAGUUUAUUGUUAAAUUCCUUAUUGAACUUUAAAAAUGUUGUGUUCACUGAAAGGUUAAUGCAUAAAUGAAAUAUUGAACAGCAUCAACUACAUAAAUACUUGGUUCAUGUUGAGUCGGAUUUUGUUUACCUACGUCUGGGUCAUUUCUGAACGCAAAAGGGCCAGUGUUGGAAAAGUACCACAAUUUUUGUUUUUUCUUUUGGGACUCGACAACAAACCUGCACUCAACUAACUUAAUAAAUUUAGUGUAUUUUUGGUCAGGUUAGUUCUGGCUGGUUUUUGUUGCCUAAAAAUAAAUAUACAGUAGCUUCAAAAUUCUUUUGUACUUUUCUAAACCUGACUAUUUUGCUUUCUGAAUAGUCUCCCUUUUUCCCUCAGUCAUUACAAACUAAGUCUGCGAGUUGCAUUUGGUUUAGAAACUGCAGUAAAAUGUCAGCUUCCAGAGCUGGUAUCUUUCCAUAAUUGGUGCAGGAAGUUGACUUUCUACUGUAUUAUUUAUUGCAGUUAAGAGUAAAUAAGAUUUUCUAUUUAUGACGUUCAUAUAUAUGGUGAAUGGUGUUGAGUAUCUGAUCAGUAUAAAGAAAGCAAACAAGAAAGACAGACUGUUGUUAACAUUUUGGUGGAGACUCUGGCCAGGCGGAGACAGCUCCUAUCCUCCCACAAAAUACUCUGAGCUUCACUAGUAGCACCUAGUAUACUCCAGCUUAUAUUACAUGCACUCACAGUAGUCAUUCUUUAGUUGGUGUUUAGUCAUCGCUGAUGGUUAUUUUCUCAGUAUAUUAUUCAGACUAAUUUAACUCUACACUGAGGAUCUGCAUACAUCAAUCUAACUUCCUGAAAGUGAUUGUUUGAAAAUCAGACUUGCACAGAGCUUCAUAUUCAGGUCAGAAAAUUCAAUGGUUCUGCACUGUAUUUGAUAUUUGUGAUAUGGAAAUAUUGUACUAUAUAUACGGUAUAUGCAUUUUUACAUAUUCUGAAUAGACCCUUCUUCACUGCCAUAGUCCUAGCAUGUUCCUAAUGUUAGGUAUGAAGCACAAACAUUAUGCUAAGCAUAUCUGAAUUGUCUUAUUGUGACAGCGUGCUGGCACUGGAGAGGGUGUGUGACAGGGACUGUCAGACAAGAAGUUCCACUCCUCUACUUUUCUUGUGUGUGUUUUGCUUCCUAGACUGACAAAUAAUAUAGUGCGAGCAUUAAUCAAUUGGUAAUGCUGUACAAGUAGUGGAGUCAUUAACCUAUUUUUGUGAAGGAAAACUUGUGUACCAGCUUUACACAUACCUUAUCACCCCAUCAAAGUUUAACAAAUCUAGAAAAAAAUAUACUUUUAAUACUAAUACAUUUGUAAAUAUAUUCAAAAUUUGUCAUUAGCCUGGUGGUACUAUGUUCUAAGUUGUACAAAGUUACUAAUGAAAGAAGGCAUUUUUACUAUGCAUCUCAGUAUCUUUGAAGUAGGAUUAUCAUUGUCUUGAUUAAUGACUCUUAAACUCUCUCUUUCUUAUCUUUGAUGCCAUGUUUACUCAGGAAGUUGAGGGGUAGCCAUAGGCACAUACGGAAAUUUCCCAAAACAACAUUUCAGCGCACUAGUGAAAUACAUAUUGUCACCUAACUGAUGUCAAACCCCACGAUCUCACUCCAUUUUUUUUCCUUCUCUGUGAAACAAUUGAAGCAAUAGAUUAUUAUAACUACAGUAUACAUGAAUCAUUGUCAUGAUAUAAACGAUUGCUACAGUUAAUUUUAGGGGUGUGGCAGCUGAAUGGAUGUGCUCACCACUUUACACAUGGGACACCUCCUGCAACACAGCUGUGGAUGGGUAUCUGACUUAAGUUGGGGAAGUGAAGGCAAUUGAGUACAAUGGCAGUUAUGAUGCUUCCUUGUGUAUUGAGUCUUAGUAUUCGGUGUGCCCACAAGGUCUACGAGAUUCACUUUCAAUUUUUACCACGGUUAAAUUGAAGUGCUCAUAGCAUUUUCACUUAUUGGAUUACUGUUUAGAUGCAUUUUUUUCUAAUUGUGUGUCUGAAUCUUCUUGAUGGUCAGUAGCAAAUUGUGGAAUAGACUGCUGACUAAAGUGUUUUUAUUAAAGAAACGUUUAAUAAUUUGUAUACAGGUACUGUAUUUUUUAUUGAAUAAGAAAAAACUUUCCAUAACGUAAGUAAAAAUUUAUUCCCAUACAUUUAUUCCCAAGCUCUUGAGAGUAUGGUCUUUCCAGCUCCUUAAAUGAUGGUACUGUAGCAUCUUGAAUUUUGUUGUAUGUAUAUUUUCAUGUUAUUAAUCAGGAAAAGUUGCCAAAUUUCAUUUUAAUUUCUGCUGUCCACAGGCAUUUACUUUGUGAACCUCAGAACUUAUUAAUCUUCCUUUUAGCUACAGGUUAAGUUAUCAGGAGGCCUUGAUAUAUCACCAUCUUCACUGUAACUUAAAACUGACCUUUAGAUUUGUAAUGCUGUGUAUGGAGAAUAUAUUAUCAUCUUCAGAAAAAUAUCACAAUCAGGACAAAUAUUUUUUUUACUAGAAAUUCCAAGCCUAGCUGAAGGAUUUUAUAGUCAUUUUGCUGUACCUGAAAAUUAAAUGACUUCUUGGUCCUGUUUGUGAUACUUUUAGUGUUGGCCACUUUGCAGGGUGAGUCUUCCUAUAGCAACAUUGAUGGUACUGUGCAGGACAAAAAUGUUGCAAUACUUGUUCAAUCUAUGGCAUAUGAAUACUGUAGUACUGUUGACUUAAAAUAUUGAUAGAUGGGAUUUUUAAUGACCAAAAGAAUACCCUGUAUUGAAAUGCAAUGUCACUCGCUGCACAGUACAACAAAACCAAAAUUAUCAUUAUCCUAAGAUUAAAAUGUUACAGAAAGUUUCCUUUGAAAAUUAUUUGGUACUACAGUACAUUUAUUUUAUUUAGUGACACAGAAAGAAGGGUUUGUAAGGAAGAAUCAAUUUCAAUAGAGAUCAGCUAUUCCUCUCAAAAACCUCUUAGGCUGUUAAAUAAAUAUAACAUUUCACAGAUUUGACCAGGUUGAUGGUGCAUCUAUUUUACUAGUGAGUCUAAAUACUUACCAUAUCAGAUCUGUUCAAACCUUCUUUUUUGGUUGUAUUUGAUCAGCCAUCCCAUUCAACAACAUUCUGUUCACCUCCAUCAAAUAAGCCAUAUUUUAUUGUCCAUUCAGGUUAAUGGUAAACUGUAUAAUAUCUGUCAUUUUAUCUUUACACAAAUUCACACACUAUAAUGAUAGCCUUCUCUGAUAUAAACCACACCCCCUCUGUCAGAUACCACACCCCUCUGUCAGAUCCCCCCCCACCCCCCGGCUCUUUCGGAUACCACCUCCCCUCUCUGUCAUAUACUAUCCCUCUCUCUGUCAUACCUCCUCCUGUCAGAGUUGCCCUCCUCUCCAAAAUCUUCCCCCUUUCUGACAUACCAACCCUCUUUGUCAGACACCAUGUGCUUUCCCAUUCUUUCACCUAUGAUCCCUCUCUUCCUUUUCUUGCAUUACCUGCCAUUCACACCUUGUUCAUCCAUUCCAACUUUUUAAUUUAGCCAUUUUUCAUCCCAUCAAGAAUAGAAAUAUCUUCCCUUUUUUCAAAGUUUGGUUUUAAAUGCAUUUAUGUUGUGAUAUCAGGCCUUUUACUUUGGUUUCUUUAAAAAAAUUAUAAAAUCUAAAUUAAAAAGAGAACAUUGUGCAUUAGAUUGAUGUGUUUUGUUGAUUUAUUGCACGAUUUGAACCUUAUUUGCACAGUGAAAUUUCCUCGUACAGAUUUUUUUUUAUUACUAUUCAUUUCAACUUGGCCUUGUUCUUCUAUUAGCUCCUGUAACUGAUAUGUUUAAAAUAAGUAAAAACAAAUAUUACUAGUAGAUGAAUUUUUCAUAAAAAUUAAUUGUGACAGGAGCUUUGUGAUUCGUGUCCAUGUGACAUAGCUAGUGUUGGGAUGUACGACUGUCACAAGGAAAAAAUAUGUGCCUUAGUUGAGAACUCAGGGGGGUCAUUUGGGAUGUAUAAUAGCUCAGAUGUAUUUUUUAAAUCUUAGAAGUGACAUAAUUAUGCAUAAAGCUCAUCAUAAGUGCAAAUAUAAGUAUCAGGAUAUUAUUCUGAGAUAGAUUGGUCACAUAACUAAAAAUAUUUCUCCUCAAUAUGGUCCUUACUUUUUAAAUUAAGAUUUUUGGUGAUCCAGUAUUGCAUAAAAGUUGAAUGUAUAUUUUAAAAUGCAACUAAUGUGUACAAAAUGGUGCCACAAUGAAUUUUGAUGUUUUGUACUAAACCUUGAAUUGUAACAGACAUCAGCAUUAUACCACGUAGAUAAUUUCUUCAGGUGGAUGAGUUCCAGUAAUGGUUUGAACAACAAAUCUUCUCUUAGGUUAAGCCCUUAAUGAGCAAUCACUUUGCUUACAAUGUGGCCUUACAUCAGUCGUUAUCUGUGAUCGUGUCAGUUGUAAAAUUACUGUAUUGUGUUCUCAAAGAUAUGUAACACCACCAGUGUUAAUCUGUUUAACACUUGUUCAAAUGAAUUUUCAAGAAAAUUUUUGUGGAUGUCGUCAAUCAGACUAUACUAAUAACUGAGCUCAUCUAAUUCAUAAACCAUUUCACCAUUAACUGUUAGACAGCUAAGUUAUCUUCUGUCUCUUCAAAUGUCGUAAAGAACUUUCUUUGCAAAACACAGGUGUAUUCUUGAAGUGUGCUUGGUGAGAGUCAGGUUAUUUAGGUGUGAUGUGAAAGUUUACAUUGCCAGGUGUACUCAUUUAUGACCAGCUUUCUAAUCAAGUUCUAAUUCAAUAACAUGUCUGAAUAAAAGGAGCUUAACCUCUGCCUUACCUCAGGGCUGAGCUGUCAUAUGUGUAUGAUGGUGAUAGUAGCAUACAUGUUAAAUGGCACUAUUACAACAUGCAUUAAGGAAGGGGUUAGGGUACAGUAUUUGUUUAUAAACUUAAUACCAAUGUGUAUUUUGUAAACCUGUGUUCAUCGUGAAGAUUUAACUUCCCAAGUGUCAUAUAUCAGCUUCUUUAAUGGUUUAUUUCUAAAAGAGCUUCUUUGGUUUACAUGGAAAAGUAAUACUGUACUGUACAGUAUUGUAAUUGGUUUCAACGUCAUUUUAAGACAUGCCAGGUGUUCAAUUAUUUUAAUUGAAGGUACCAAAAAUUGCUGAAGAUUGUGACGCUUGUGAAUUUGCUACUUUUUUUAAGUAAAGUAUCUAACUUUGUCAGUAGAUCUCUUAUUUACAGAAAUGUCUUGGAAACAUUUCAGUAACUAAUUCAGGCAUAUACAGUACCUAUAAUCCAGAGAAACUUACUUUUACUAAGCAUGGUUGAGGAAUACUCCAACAAGUCAAGAUGCAUAUCUUCACAUUAUCUGGGGCUCUUAGUAGCCACAGAUAUGUAUUUUAUUUAUACUUUACUUUAAAAAUAAAGAAAAUAAAUCCA
rnacentral:lncRNA from 1 species